AUAUAACUAAGCGGAGGAAAAGAAACUAACUAGGAUUCCCCCAGUAACGGCGAGUGAAGCGGGAAAAGCUCAAGCUUAAAAUCUCCAUUCCUAGAAUGGCGAAUUGUAGUCUAUGGAAGCUGUGGUCAGCAACGUUCUGUGAGCCAAGUCCCUUGGAAUAGGGCAGCAUAGAGGGUGAGACUCCCGUCCGCCUGGCCUUUUGAACCAGAUGUCUACGAGUCGAGUUGUUUGGGAUUGCAGCUCAAAGUGGGUGGUAAAUUCCAUCUAAAGCUAAAUAUUGGUGGGAGACCGAUAGCGAACAAGUACCGUGAGG
rnacentral:rRNA from 1 species